rnacentral:rRNA from 1 species
CACGUAGGCGGCUUGGUAAGUCAGAUGUGAAAGCCCGGGGCUUAACCCCGGAAGUGCAUUUGAUACUGCCAGGCUUGAGUAUGGGAGAGGGAAGUGGAAUUCCUGGUGUAGAGGUGAAAUUUGUAGAUAUCAGGAGGAACACCGGUGGCGAAGGCGGCUUCCUGGACUGACAAUGACGCUGAGCCACGAAAGCGUGGGUAGCAAACAGGAUUAGAUACCCUGGUAGUCC